AUUGAACGCUGGCGGCAGGCCUAACACAUGCAAGUCGAACGGUAACAGGAAGCAGCUUACUUCUUUGCUGACGAGUGGCGGGCGGGUGAGUAAUGUCUGGGAAACUGCCUGAUGGAGGGGGAUAACUACUGGAAACGGUAGCUAAUACCGCAUAACGUCGCAAGACCAAAGAGGGGGACCUUCGGGCCUCUUGCCAUCAGAUGUGCCCAGAUGGGAUUAGCUUGUUGGUGGGGUAACGGCUCACCAAGGCGACGAUCCCUAACUGGUCUGAGAGGAUGACCAGCCACACUGGAACUGAGACACGGUCCAGACUCCUACGGGAGGCAGCAGUGGGGAAUAUUGCACAAUGGGCGCAAGCCUGAUGCAGCCAUGCCGCGUGUAUGAAGAAGGCCUUCGGGUUUUAAAGUACUUUCAGCGGGGAGGAAGGGAGUAAAGUUAAUACCUUUGCUCAUUGACGUUACCCGCAGAAGAAGCACCGGCUAACUCCGUG
rnacentral:rRNA from 1 species